rnacentral:rRNA from 1 species
CGGGAGGGACGUACCACUGGUGUUCCAGUUGUCCUGUGAAGGUGAUGGGUGGGUAGCUAUGGACGAAAUGGAUAAGCGCUGAAAGCAUCUAAGCGCGAAGCCAACUUCAAGAUAAGAUUUCCCACCGAAAGGGUAAGACCCCAGAAAUACUAUCUGGUUGAUAGUUCGAAGGUGUAAGUGCAGCAAUGUAUUUAGCGUAUCGAUACUAAUAGGUCGAGGACUUGACCAAU